UGGGGAAUUUUGGACAAUGGGCGCAAGCCUGAUCCAGCAAUGCCGCGUGCAGGAUGAAGGCCUUCGGGUUGUAAACUGCUUUUGUACGGAACGAAACGGCUCUGUCUAAUACAUGGGGCUAAUGACGGUACCGUAAGAAUAAGCACCGGCUAACUCCGUGCCAGCAGCCGCGGUAACACGGAGGGUGCAAGCGUUAUCCGGAUUCACUGGGUUUAAAGGGUGCGUAGGCGGAUUUGUAAGUCCGUGGUGAAAUCUCUAAGCUUAACUUGGAAAUUGCCGUGGAUACUAUAAGUCUUGAAUAUUGUGGAGGUUAGCGGAAUAUGUCAUGUAGCGGGGAAAUGCGUAGAUAUGCGGAGGAACACCGAUGGCGAAGGCAAUCCCCUGGACCUGUACUGACGCUCAUGCACGAAAGCGUGGGGAGCAAACA
rnacentral:rRNA from 1 species